rnacentral:rRNA from 1 species
ACGUAGGGGGCAAGCGUUGUCCGGAAUUACUGGGCGUAAAGCGCACGCAGGCUGAAUUAUAAGUCGGUAGUCAAAGGCGGAGGCUCAACUUCCGUUUAUCUAUCGAAACUGUAAAUCUAGAGUAUGUGAGAGGGAAGUGGAAUUCCCGGUGUAGGGGUGAAAUCCUGAGAUCUCGGGAGGAACACCAGUGGCGAAGGCGGCUCCCUGGCACAUUACCGACACUCAUGUGCGAAAGCUAGGGUAGCGAACGG